rnacentral:lncRNA from 1 species
AUGCGCGCGCCCACCGGCCGUGCCGUGUGCAGCGGGCAGCGGCGCGGGGCCAGCGCGUGCGCGGUUGCCGGGGCGACUGGAACACAACAUGGCGGCCUGAGGGGAGCGCCGGGAGUGGGGCCGGGUCGGGCCCGGCCGCUGAUCCGCCAGCCCCGGCACCGGCGGGACGGCGCGGGAGGCACAGUAAGAGGUUUCCAGUCUCUUUUUCUUGGAUAUAAUGAGCUGGACCACAUCUCAAAAAUCCAUGAAGUGAUAGGCACUCCUGGUAACAAAACUCCAAAAGUUCAAGCACAAACUUUCAGAAUCUCAACAGCAAGAAUGGAAAAAACAUCCCAGCCUUGGCAAGAACUUGUAUAG